GAUUUCAUGAGGGUUAACAAAAGGGGUACCUGCUGGAAGGUAAUGAGAUGUGAUUUGAAUCCCUCUAGUAAAGAAGAUGUAAAUCAAAAGCACCAAGGAUGCAAUUAAUCAUUGCUGGUGUCUCUUUACGUGACAGAAUACCAAUUAAUGUGAUCUAUAAUUCUCUAAGGAUAAGAUAGAAGAGACAGCUGGAAAUUGCUGGGAUUUAGUAACUGGUUUUAAUUAAAGUCAGAUUUUCAUGUAAUGUGCACUUUUUGUAAGGCUGUCACUUGUAGAUGCUUCUUCAUGCAUAACUAAAAAUCAAGAUUAGACCAAAUGAAACCGGAAGGUAAGAACAGACUAUUGGGGAAAUCCUUUUUAAUUGCUAAUGAAUAUUAAAAUUAAUAGAGUAAUAAUGCGCCUUUGUUGCGUUUAGUUGUAGGAUUAAAUAAUGUGGCAUUGACUCCAUCUGCAGCAGACCCUUCAGCUAUUUGUAUGGGCAAAAUAGAUAGCUGAGGAGAUGGAUAUGCUCUUAAAUUUCCCUGAAAUGACUGGUGAGCAGCAGAGGAACAAUGUUUCAUUGUGUGUUUAAGUGUCCGUGUUCAUUUAGCUGUUUGGAGAUUUGGUCCUGCGAGGAUACAUUGCACCACUAGGUGGCAGUCAUACACUGAAUAUUUAUGAAAAUGCAGCGAGAUUGUGUGUGUGUGUGUGUGUGUGUGUGUGUGUGUGUGUGUGUGUGUGUGUGUGUGUGUGUGUGUGUGUGUGUGUGUGUGUGUGUGUGUGUGUGUGUGUAACCUUGGUAGGUCUUUGUUUGGUCGACUUGGAUAUAUUUCAGGGUAUGAAAGACCAAAAAAUCAAGCAAAUGUUAGGUUUGACAUAAUAUUGUGUCAAUUGUCUAACUCAUUUCAAAUGAUCCAUUUGUAAUUGUGGUAUUGCGUAAAAUACCUAGAUUUCACAUUGCAGAGCUGUGAAUGGGAAACCCUGCUGGUGUGCAGGAGGUUAGAUGUGUGGGAUGUGGGAGGAUGGGGGGAAUGUGUGGAGAGGGGGAAAAGAGGGACCUUCUGUUGCUUAAUAAUAGGGUCACCAAUUGUUGACCCAGGUAUUAGAUUGACACAAAUUCUUUUAAAAGGCAAGUUUUACUUUGGUUUGUAAUUUAGAAUCCAUCUCUAUGAAGGGACUCAGAGUCCAUUUUCUUUCUGAUCAUAGAUGGCAUUAGUGUGUUAGCAAUAUCCAAUUCCUUAGUAAGGCAGGUUUCUGAGCUCAUGGAAAAUCGGAACUGAGAAGUUCCUUAAAGAUGAGCUAGUGAAACUCACUCAUUCUAUAAAAGAGAAAACCUUAGGCCCCAAAAUAGUAAAUAAAACUUUUCAAAGGUUGAUCGCUAGAUGUUGGCAAGCCCAGGCUACAUUUGAAAUUUCCUGACUUUUUAAUCAGGCUGGUAAUUUGGUUUGUCUUUGACACUUUAUUUGGGGGUUGGAGGAGGAUGGAGUGGAAAGGUUAAAAAAGGAAAAAGGAAACAAAAAACCCAACAUUAUCUGCAGGGUGUGAUGCCAGUCACUCUCUAUCUGUUACCUCAUUUAAGCCUCACAAUAACCAAGACACAGAUUUUAUUUUACAGAGGAGGAAAACGAUACCUAAGUAACUAGCACAAGAUCAGACAGGGAAAUGAAAGUCAGAAUCCUAGAAAAUAUGCAUAAUUUUUUCUUUAAGAGAGGAAAGGAAGGGAAUUAAAGAACAUAUCUAAAAUCAACGAAAGCAUUUUCAUAGUAACAACUCUCCUGUGAUUUAUUCAUUCAACAAACAUUUAUUGUGCACUUUCUGUGUGCUAGGUAAUAAAGUAAACAUAAAAUUAUUUUGGAAGGCAGGAGAAUUUAACGUGAACUUGUGUUUAUUUGGUUUUGUUUUGAAGGGUGGUUACUAGCUGUGUAAGGAUGAAAUAAACCAAGCCUUUUGUCGUUCGGUUUGAAUGUUGAAACAUUACCCACUCUGUAGUGUCAUCAAUCUGUCGAUUUUGGAAAAUAUGGGUUUUUUAAAAAUAAAAAAAAUCCUUUGCCAUGCAGAAGUAGCUGAAGCAAUGCCUUACUCCACAAUCCCAUGUGUGCUGGAUUUAAUUUAAUAGCUGAACAUGGUGUACUUAGAAUUUAGAGAAAUAAUUUUUUAAAAGAAGUCUGUAUUCAAGUGUAUAUUUGAUUAGACUAGACUCUCUACAAGGACAGGGACACGGUUAGUUCUCUUUACUGCCACAAUCCCAGGGCAAGCCCAGCACCUGGUCCAAGUUAGCACCCAUAUCAGAUGGCCAGAAGCGAGCCAUGGCAUUUGAGUGCCAGAUUCAUGCCUUCUCACACCUGUAGAGCUUUCCCGCCACAUGCAACUGACCUUACAAUGUUUGGGAAAUAGAUAUAUACGGUUUUGCAGGUAAGAAGUAGCAUUAUUAGUUUGUGGCUUGCUGCCCUCUUUGGAAUGAAUUUAAAUCGUGGAGGUUGCUAUUUGCAUGGAGUUCAUAGCAUGAAUCUUAACUUUGAGUCAGCUUUAGUGUUUUGUCCCAGUGGGAUUCCAUUUUAAACAGAGUCUCCAUUUAUCUCUCAGGAAAGUGUUACUGAAAUGUGUUUUCCGAGUCCUCUGAGAGAGUGGUCCAGCUCCUUUGGAGUCACUGUGGGAGGGGGAAUUUAGUCUCCUCAGAGCCAGCUGCCUCCCUCACAUUCUAACUGAUGAAUCCUGAACUAAAUUCUGUUCUUUGGGUUCAUACUUUCUGAGGAAACAACAUUCUAAUUCAUACUUGGCAAGUGUGACACCCCGCCCCGGGCUGGUUGCAAUCUUUAGUGUGCACUUAUUCAUUUAUUCAUUCAUCCAGCAAAUGAUAUUGAAGCCCACCUUGUGCCAGGCCACCUGCAGCGGGAUACAGUAGUGAGUGAGCAGACACAGAGGCUGCCCUGCUGUCCCGGGCAGUCACUUGGAGACAGAGCAAGUAAACACGGUGUAGUAAGGUGAACCGUUGUCUCAGGUAGCACAUGGUGCCACAGGAACACCCAGGGCAGGCUUCCUGGAGGAAGUGGCAUCUAAACUAGCCCUGAAGGAUGAGAGGGAAGGAGCAGGGCGGAGGGACUAGGGACAGCAGAGCAGAGUGCCAGUCUGAGGAAGCAACAUGGACAAAGGCCUUUAGGUGAAGGCAAACAGGAUGAGAUUAGCUCCUUUUAGAUCCCUGCAACCAGAGUGUGAAAGGCAAAGGGGGUGGGGGGCAGAUAAGCAGACCACAGCUGAAGGGACAUCUCCCUGAGGGCCGAGGGGAAUGAAGGGUGUUGAGAAGGGGAAGGGAAUGAUCCAAUCUGUGUUCUCACAAGCUCGCUCAGAUUUCAGUGGGGAGAAGGGAUUGGAAGGGCCCAAGCCUUGAGGCUGGGCGAGCCACAGACGAGACAGGGAUACCCAGGGAAUGAAGAGGGAAGUGGACCAGAGAGAAAUAAAUGUCCUGUUCUGACCUCCGCCAGACUCAGUAACAGCACCACGUUAAUUACAGAGCUCUUCAUUCGUUUUUAGAAAUGAGCAGAAUAAGUAUAAAUAAAUGAAGAGCAAGAUCAAAUGUACUUUCACUUACAACCAAGGCAUUUUUCCUAGUGUUUUCAAGAUGCUAAGCAACUUUUUAAAUAACACGCAGUGAGCAUGACCGAAAUGAUGAAUGAAAAACUUAAAAUUAAACAAAGCAAAUGAUCUGGUUUCAUUCUGGCACCCUUUGAGCACAUGGGCCCGACGACAGAGCUCUCGGUGGCAAGAUUAGUAAGCAUUUCUUUUCUUUUUUAUUUUUUAAACAUCUUUAUUGGAGUAUAAUUGCUUUACAAUGGUGUGUUAGUUUCUGCUUUAUAACAAAGUGAAUCAGUUAUACAUAUACAUAUGUUCCCAUAUCUCUUCCCUCUUGCGUCUCCCUCCCUCCCACCCCUCUAGGUGGUCACAAAGCACCGAGCUGAUCUCCCUGUGCUAUGCGGCUGCUUCCCACUAGCUAGCUAUUUUACGUUUGGUAGAAACUUUGUCACAGCUUACCCUUCCCCCUCCCCAUAUCCUCAAGUCCAUGCUCUAGUAGGUCUGUGUCUUUAUUCUCAUCUUACCCCUAGGUUCUUCAUGACUUUUUUUUUUUCUUAGAUUCCAUAUAUAUGUGUUAGCAUACGGUAUUUGUUUUUCUCUUUCUGACUUGCCUCACUCUGUAUGACAGACUCCAAGUCCAUCCACCUCACUACAAAUAACUCAAUUUCGUUUCUUUUUAUGGCUGAGUAAUAUUGCAUUAUAUAUAUGGGCCACAUCUUUAUCCAUUCAUCUGUCGAUGGACACUUAGGUUCUUUGCAUGUCCUGGCUAUUGUAAAUAGAGCUGCAGUGAACAUUGUAGUACAUGACUCAUUCUGAAUUAUGGUUUUCUCAGAGUAUAUGCCCUGUAGUGGGAUUGCUGGGUCGUAUGGUAGUUCUAUUUGUAGUUUUUUAAGGAACCUCCAUACUGUUCUCCACAAUGGGUGUAUCAAUUUACAUUCCCACCAACAGUGCAAGAGGGGUCCCUUUUCUCCACACCCUCUCCAGCAUUUAUUGUUUUUAGAUUUUUUGAUGAUGGCCAUUCUGACCGGUGUGAGAUGAUAUCUCAUUGUAGUUUUGAUUUGCGUUUCUCUAAUGAUUAGUGAUGUUGAGCAUUCUUUCAUGUGUUUGUUGGCAAUCUAUAUAUCUUCUUUGGAGAAAUGUCUAUUUAGGUCUUCUGCCCAUUUUUGGAUUGGGUUAUUUGUUUUUUUGAUAUUGAGCUGCAUGAGCUGCUUGUAAAUUUUGGAGAUUAAUCCUUUUCAGUUGCUUCAUUUGCAAAUAUUUUCUCCCAUUCUGAGGGUUGUCUUUUCGUCUUGUUUAUGGUUUCCUUUGCUGUGCAAAAGCUUUUAAGUUUCAUUAGGUCCCACUUGUUUAUUUUUGUUUUUAUUUCCAUUUCUCUAAGAGGUGGGUCAAAAAGGAUCUUGCUGUGAUUUAUGUCAUAGAGUGUUCUGCCUAUGUUUUCCUCUAAGAGUUUGAUGGUGUCUGUCCUUACAUUUAGGUCUUUAAUCCAUUUUGAGUUUAUUUUUGUGUAUGGUGUCAGGGAGUGUUCUAAUUUCAUUCUUUUACAUGUAGCUGUCCAGUUUUCCCAGCACCACUUAUUGAAGAGGCUGUCUUUUCUCCACUGUAUAUUCUUGCCUCCUUUAUUCAGUCUCUGUUUGAUGGCUGCUAAACUGAUCUUCCUUAAUUCCCCAUAGGAGACCAAGAGCUGAAAAAACCAAACUCAAUCUUUUAAAUCAGUCUGUUCAGUUGUAGCUUCUUUUCUCUGUUUCCCCUUUCAAGGUUUUAGGAAAGCUAUGGUUAGAGGGUCUAGUGUAUCUUCAGUGCACAUUGGAAAAUUAGGGAAAUGUCACUGCAAGUCCCUGUACAUGCCACUGUUGUUAUUUGGGGGGCUAUUUCUUGAAGACAUGAGUGGUGACGCAGGCAGGGAUAAACCAUCCAGAGAUAUGAUCUCCCUUGUAGGGAUUCUCAUUUACCUUGCCAACCUUGCGGUGACAGUGGGUUUCUCUCAAAAGGAGCUAUAUAACACAAAGUAAAAAAAUUGAGUCAUAACACACCAAACAAAAAUAAUAUUUUUAAAGAUAAAACAUUUCUAAAAAUAGGAUAAAUCCUGAAUACUACAUCUGCUGGUUAUUCUGGAAGAAUGGUCUUCUUUCAAUGUAAUCCUUUAAUUCAUUUUUUCAUUACUUUAUGUUUUACCAACAAUAAAAAUUAGGAAGAAGUAUAAUAACCAUACCAAAAUUUCAGGGACAAUGAGAAUUUUGUUAAUGAUUUCACUUUGGGACAGCCUAGUGGUUGGUCUCUAUUUACUCCAGUUUUCAAGGAGGAAAAGAAAAGAGUCCAUUCUUCUGCUCUGCCCAGAUUUCAUGGUAAUUCCUUCAAGUAUUUAUCAAGCAAUUAAUAUAUGCCAGGUACUUUUAUCUUCAAGGCUCUAAAGAUAAAAUGUGAAUAAGGCUGUUGCUACCCUUGUCUUCAUAGAAUUCAUAGUGUAGUAGGGGAGACAGACAAUAAUCAAACAGUCAAAAUGCAGAGUCUCGUGCUAGGAUAGAGGAUCUGAAGGAUUUUGUUGAGGCACAUAGCAGGGAUGCCUAAUUUUGUCUGGUGGGUCAGGAUAGGCUUCUUAGAGAUAUUAUGAUUUAAGCUGAAGACUGUUAGUAUAGUUAGUAGCCAGGUGAAAAGGGGAAGGAGAGAGCAAGGAUUUUCCUGGCAGAGUUGUAAGAUGUUUGAAAGCCCAGAAGAGGGUGAAGAAGGGAAUAGCACAGCAAAACAAAUGAAAGAAAUUUGACUGGAGCAUUAAAUUUUUCUAACAUAAGCUAUGCAAGUAGCUAGUGGUAACUUUAAUUUAGAUAAUAGAGAAGUAGGUUCAAAGAACAUUGCUUCAGUAAUAGCUACGCUCAGAUAUGUUCAACUCUUAGAAAAUGAGACUUUAACAUUUAAUCUUCUAGGUAGUUUUCACUAUACUUAUAUAUUUAUUUUGCCUUUGAGUUGUGCUCUUUUUACCUCUUAAGCAAGGUGAUGUGAAUACUAGUAAUGCCUCACAUUUCUUGAUUAAGCACUGUCUUAUUUUCUUAGCCACAUUUAAAAACUGAAAAUGACAAAAUCCUAAGAAUACAUCUAACCAAAGAUAUUCAAGACUACCUUACUAAAACUAUAAAACAUUGCUUAGAAAAGUUAAAGCAGACUUAAAUUAAGGGAGGGAUAUGCCAUGUUUAUGGAUCAGAAGACUCUACAUUGUUAAGAUGUCAUUAACUCUCCAAAUUGAUCUUAAUUGCAACACCAAUCCCAAUCCCAAUAGGAAAUUCACAGAACGAUUAUAAACUUAUAUAGAAAUGCAAAAGACAUAGAAUAGCCAAGGUGAUCUUAAAAAACAAGAAGAAAGCUGGAAGACUUACAUUUCUAGAUAUUAAGACUUAUUAUAAAGCUAAAGUAAUUAGACAGUAUGGUUUUGACUAAAGAAUAAUUCAGUAGACCAAUGGAACAGACUAAAUCGUCCAUAAAAAAUGCACACAUAUAUGGUCACCUGAUUUAUGUCAAAAGCAUUACUGCAAUUAAUUAGAGGAAAUAAUGGGCUUUUUAAUAAACGGUGCUGAGACAGUUAGCUAUCCAUAUAGAAAACAAUAAACCUGACCCCUACUUCAUAUCAUAUCACAAAAAUUAAUGAGAGAUCAUAGACUUAAAGUCCAAAAAUAAAAAACUAUUUCAGAACAAAACCUAGGUAAAUAUCUGAAUGACCUUGGGGGAGGCAAAGAGUUUUGAAACAGGAUGCAGAAAGCACUUAACCACAAAAGAAAAUAAUAAAUUGCACCUCAUCAAAAUUUAAAAAGUCUAUGCAUUAAAAGAUACCAUUGAGAAAAAAUAAAGACUGAAGAAGAUAUUUGCAAUACAUAUAUCCAAAAAGGGACUUAAAGAAGUUAUAUAAAGAAGUUAUACAAGUCAAAAAGAAAAAUAUUAACUACCUAGUUGAAAAUGGGCAAAAAAUCUGAAAAGGCACUUGAAGUUAUCAAAAUUACCAAUACAAAUAUGCAAAGGUAUUUACAUUAUUAACCCUCAGGGAAGUGAAAAUAAAAAUCCACCAAAUGGGGCUUCCCUGGUGCACAGUGGUUAAGAAUCCUCCUGCCAAUGCAGGGGACACGGAUUCAAGCCCUGGUCUGGGAAGAUCCCACAUGCCACGGAGCAGCUAAGCCCGUGUGUCACAACUACUGAGCCUGCGCUCUAGAGCCCGUGAGCCACAACUACUGAGCCCGAGUGCCACAACUACUGAAGCUCGCGCGCCUAGAGCCUGUACUCGGCAACAAGAGAAGCCACCUAAUGAGAAGCCCGUGCACCACAAGAAAGAGUAGCCCCCGCUCACUGCAACUAGAGAAAGCCCCGCGUGCAGCAAUGAAGAUGCAACGCAGCCAGAAACAAAUAAAUUCAAUAAAUAAAUUAAAAAAAAAAAAACCCAAGUGGCUAAAAUUAGAAGGACUGACAGUCACAAAUAUUAAUGAGGAUAGGAAGCAACUGGAACUAUUAUACAUGGUGGUGGAAGUGUUAACUGAUAGAAGCACUUUGUAAAACUAUUUGGCGUUAUCUACUAAAAAUAGUAUACUUCUGGGCAAACACCCAAGGAAAAUGAGUGUUCAUGUAAAAUGCAUAUACAAGAAUGUUCAUAGCAGUGUUAUUCAUAAUAGCCCCAAAGGGAAAACAAACCAAAUGUCCAUCAGCAGUAAGAUGGAUAAAUUGUGGUGUUAUUCAUUCACUAGGAUACUACAGAGCAAUGAAAAAGAAUUAACUAUUACUAGAUUGCAAUAUAUGGAUGUAUCUCCUGAGUAUGAAGUUGAGUGAAAGAAACUAGACAUCACAGAAUAUGUAGUAUAUACUUUCCUUUAUGUGAAGUUCAAAAUCAGGCAAAACUAAUCCAUGGUGAUAGAGGUCAAAAUAUUCUAUUUUUGAGGAGGUAUUGCCCAAAGUGGAACACAAAGCAGCCUAUUGGAGCGCUGAAAAUGUUCUAUAUAUUGUUCUGGGUGGUACUCAUGUGGGUAUAUACAUAUUUAAAGGUAUAUGGCGGUAUUAGCUUCAUAUUUUGCACUCUCAGCUAUACCUCAGUAAAAUAGUAAAAAAAAAAAAAGAAA